CUAUGAGCUAAAACGUUUAGUUUUUAAUAUGACGCACAUGAAAUAUUGUUGAACUAUACAGUCCUAUAUGCGGAUGGGAAAUAAAUGCAUGUUUACCUAAUACAGUUUUCAGUUAGAUAACUGUAGAAUAUUCGGGAUCACCCCUCUAACAUAAUAAGAUGAAUCAAGGAAGGCAAAUUAAGCUGACAGCUAUGACAAUGUAGUGAAGUAAGGGAGGAAGGGGGAACUACACGUCAAACGACGUGUGACUCCUUUUGAAAGGGCAAUGAAACAUCGUCGGCUUAGAUAUAUCCGCCCAUCAGGCAGGCUAGAUGAUUCUCCUGGCUGUUCAAAUGGUGAUCGUGCUAUCUACUAGAUACGGCAUUAACCAAAGCUGUGAUUGAUCUAAAAGGAGGCAUCGUAAGAUUUCUACAAAUAUAUCGACUACAAAAGUAAUCGUUAUCACAUUGAAGCGGAUAUGGACUCAAUAAGGCAAUACUGCAAGUCUUGCUUUCAGUGUCACUUAUCACUAAAAAUUUGCUUUGCAAGAUUAUUGAGCUGUCACUGAAUUGUCUAUGCAUUAGUACAAAAUGGAGGACGAUUGUCAAGGAAGAAAAACUGAACAGCAACAGAAAGGUCAGUAUAUAUAGACAGGAGUUUUGCAUUAAUCAUAUCUGAUUAUAAUGAAUUCUUGACAUUCGACAACGGCGUGUGAUAUUUUCAAAUGUCAUUUGAGGAACAUUAAUUUCAAUGUAUAGUUUUCUUCAACAUAACUUUUGUAGCGACACUUACGACUGUCUUAAUUUCUGUUUCUGUAAUCGUAAUCAUAUAUGACAAUCGCACGAAUAUAGACUGAAGUUAAUGCAUUUUCAAACAUUAAAUCUCACUAUGCAGGUGACGAAGCAUAAUCGGGGGUGUUGAAAACAUCCUGUACAGUGAGAAAAAAAAUCUCUUUAAAAGAUACAUAAACCAUAUUCGUGAUAUAUUUUAAUUAGAGAUCAAAAUUUCAUAGCAUACCUCAUAAAUAUCAAGAGGAAAUUCAUAGCAGUUUCGACCAGCAUGCGAUACGCAUUUGAAGAAAUAUUGUAUUUCAUUACGUAUUUCUACUUAAAUGGACUUGAGCUGUCAUUAUAUACAAAGAAACUAUUUUUCAACUUUCUCUGUUCUCUUCAAGGUUCCUAUCGUAUUUUAUAAGUAAAGAUAAGAUCCCGAUGUGCGCUCCGGCGGCAUUCAGCCUAGCAUAGUAAGCGACAUAUUGAAUAAAAAAACCUAUAUAUGACAGAAGUGUACAGCGCAGUUUGAUAUCAUCGUCAUCGUCACUUGCUUUUAUUUUUUAUUUCGUCUUUUUUAUCUGAUUACUUUUUGUUGUAUGGACAUAGAAAAAGAUUGCAUAAAAAGUGAAUAAACUGCACAGUUUCCAAAACAAUAAACUGGUAUGUAAUGCUAUGUAUAUAAACAAUAAAAAGGUAGUCCUAAAUUUCAAAAUGCCUUUCAAGUCACACUGUUUUUAUUUAAGUGCUGCACUUGAGAGAUAUAUCCUUUGGCAUGAUAUGAUGGUUCCGUCACUUCCUAUAUUUCAUUCCAAGGCGAAACAUUUAAUUAUGCAUUUAUAUAUUUUGCUUCAUAUGUUUCUUGGUAGACUUUCAGAAAAUUGAUAUACAUAAAGUUCUAUUUAAUAAUAAAUAACACAAAUUUAUUCAAUUUGGGACCGUUUAAAUGCAUGUUUUUUUUUAUCUAUCUUAGUGAUUCUAUAAAAGUCAAAGCAAUUUGAUCAUAGAAGUAUAUUCAAAUUUUUAAUCACAACGCUUUUCAGAAACAUUUUUUUCAAACAAUUGUUAUUAUACUUUUGUAGUAAGAUAGAGGUUUAUUUUUAAACUAUUAACUCUUACUUUUCAAGAUCUGCUUCAAAUUUUCUAGGAUUCUUCCAGACGGACAGAAGUGUUGUAACUUGUAUUUCUGUAGGUUGAUAGUCUCAAUGAAUGCGUUUUGUGGAUAUGUUCAACACUAAGAUUAUUUUAUUUACAUUGACCUUUACUGACCAAUGGAUAUGAGUUUUGCAUGCAUGUUUUGAAUGUUCACAAAUACAACAGUACACCAGGAUAACGGACUGCGUCAAUCAAUUUAGCAUCAGUAUAUCUUUAUUAAACAACAUUUAGAGAAGAAGGUUUAGUCGAAAUUAUUCAAUAUUGUCACGAACGGACAACGCGUAUAUUAAUUGAAAUUCUACAAAGAUGCUGAAAUUUAAAUUUGAAAUAGGCGGUCAUUUUAGUCAAAUUUGAUAUAUCUAAAGUUUAGAAAUACUGAAUAUUAAUUUAGGUGUUACAAGAAUCUAAGAACAACUUUUCGAAACACUGAACGAUAUCAAGUCAAAUAUUAGCAGACAUGGUUUGAUGGAGUUAGUGGAAUUGUAGCGCUAAUACCCCUUGCGCCUCCCUUUUACCCGCUUAACCGAAACUUUCUUACAAAUAAACAUUGAAUGAACGUUAAGAUCUAAAGGGUUCAGAAAUAAUAAUAACCACGUGCAAGUACGAGGUGAUUUUCACGACAGUUACCAAGGGUGUUAUAAUAGUUAAUAAGUCUAUAAGAAUACCAGAUGGACGCACUGGACGUAAUAAAAAGACUCGAUUUAGUUGAGGCUGUUUGAAUUUGCAACACCCCUCAUAUUCCCUGACGGAUCUCUAUUAUAAAUGACACAGAUCCCAAACGACCAACGGAAAUAAUGACUAAUUGUACCAAUCAUUCAUGUGAGAUUUAGCCUAAGGUGAAUUACAUAAGCACUGGCUGAAACAAUUUACAAGUACAUAUCAUCAUGCCACCUACAUUAAACAGACUUGUUUUUAAAAUGUUAUAAGCUUAGAACGUAACAAGUCAAACAUUUCAACUGGAGACUUUACCCGAGGUAUGUCGCAAGACAUUAAAGUGUGCUUGUAGUCAAACAUUCGGACAUAUUCCUAGUCAGAUUGCAUUUCUCUAACACUUGAUUUAUAUCGAAGAAUAUUGUUUGAUCUGCCAACGUCUGUCUCGUUAGAUGUUUAGUUAUUGUUAGGAAUGUGUAUCUUUUGUGAUCAAUCAUUAGACAGAUGUUGCAGCAUUACUCCAGAGAUAGUUGCUGAAAUUUAAGUAUCACAGUCUAUGAAGAGACUAAAAAUUGCGUUCUUGGACCCGCUGUGACUCUUUCUUUUUCCUUGUAAAUGGUUUCUGAAAUAAUAAUAAAAAAAGCAUGGCUAAUCAAAGACUUAUUACACGGGGAUUGCUCAAAACAAACGAAUUAAGAAGGCAGGGCAUAUUAUAUUUUUACUUUUCUAUUCGAUAGCACUAAUUGGACAUUUAUUUUUUUAAAAAAAAACCGUCAGUACAUUUAUGUAUAAAUUAGAUGUUUAUCGAAUACUUUGAGUGAAAAUAACUCUAAUUUUGUUUAAUUUGCAAAGAAACGUGUUUAAUAAUUAUACGCUGUAGUACAACUACAACGGAUCCUAAAUGAUGCUGUUGAAGAAGCAGUUAUCAACAACAGUUUUUAACCAACUGCUUGAAUGUGCUUGAUAUGUACGGUAAUAAUCUGCUCUCCAUCUUUUAAAUUUCUGAUUAAAAAUCAUAAACAUUAAUAUAAUCAUAAAAUCCUUAAUUUUAGACAUAGAAGGAAGGUAUCUUAUCAAAUUUGAACAACUGGUUUUUGAGAAGUUAGUUUAGCAAUUUAGGUAGAGGAUGGCACAUGUUGAUUGAUUAUAAGAUUCAAGACUGUUCGUAAUAUCUUACUUUAGCCAUAAAAACAUUUUCUUCAUUCUGAAGGAAGAGGGCAUAGGACAGUCAUGGGAUGUAAAAAAAAGAACAGAUUUCUAACAGCAAAUUUUGGGUUAUUUGUUUUAAUACUUUCGACAAAAUAUCGAUAGGCUUAUCAGGUCGCACCCAUAACCUCACCCCGGAGCCCUAACUCUGAAAACGUUCAGAAUUGCAUCAGUUUUACAUGAAUAUUUAAUCUCGAGAAUUUUAUUUAAUUACAAAAAUAGGGCACCUCUGUGUAAAAGAAAAUGUGAGGAAAAAACAACUUUUUUCGAAACGCCAAUACAUUUUCUAAAAUAUACUUUUAUACAUUUAAAGAAACUGCAAAGUCGAUGUCUUUGUCAGUAUCAAUAUAUUACUUUGAUGAAUGUAUUAUAAGAAUUAUGAAAGAAAUCGCCAGAAAUAUCGGAGAGAGCGUAUGGAGUUACGACUGGUAUGCUUGUUAAGAUGUUCUGAAACAUUUGUACCAAUCCAAUGUAAAAGAGGAAACAACUGCAAGUUUUCGUGCAAUAUAGCAAAGGUACUGUCUAGUAUUUAAGAAGAAAUAAACAAACACUAAAACUACAUUUGAUAAGCCUAUAACUAAGAAAAUACCAUAGGUGCACGUAGGUUUUAUUCUAACGUUAGAUGCUUUUGCUAAUUGACAGGCGCGACAAAGCAAGUGUGUUAUAAAGAACAACCUUUGUCCAUUUGAGUUAAUAUUUAUGAGCCGCAUUGAGUUACAAAAUGUAAGACAUUUGACUUAGUUUAUAUCCCAUUUCAAAAUAUAAAUGUAAUUGUCAAUAAAAGGCGUUGGUUCUGUUACUUGUUUAAAGAUUUAGAAAAAAAGAAUUCUAUUCAAAUGCAUUCACCCUGAAUAGUAACAGUUUCGUUAUUUUUCUAUUGUGAUAAGAUCUUUUUAACGAACCAAGCCCUGUAGAUAAAUGGUAUUCCAUUGAAAAGAAAAGAAAAAUAUGUAUACUAGUAUUAUAUAUAGACUAUCUAUAAAACAGCUUUAUCACUUUUACGAAACCAUAUUUGAAAAAAAAUCUAAAAUUUGGUAACGUUAGAUUCUAUAAAGUUAUGCAUUUGCCAAACAUAAAUCCAGUAGAUGUGAUGUAAGUGUAUCAUGAUGAAAACACAACCGAAUUCCUUAAUUGAGCCGCGCCAUGAGAAAACCAACAUAGUGCGUUUGCGAUCAGCAUGGAUCCAGACCAGGAUCCAUGCUGUUCGCUAACAGUUUCUGUGAUUGCAAUAGGCUUUGAAAGCAGGCUGGUCUGGAUCUAUGCUGGUCGCAAACGCACUAUGUUGGUUUUCUCAUGGCGCGGCUUAAAUACUGUGUGUCUUACGAACUACUCAAUCAUUUUCACUUGAUUUCAAGUAACAAUUACUAGAAAUGGAAAUUGUUUCGAUAACGAAGACAAAAAUCUUAAGAAUUGCACUUUUAACGCAACCCUGACCUAUUUCCGGUGGAGAACGUGACAGUUAUGGAGAGAAAUAUUGAAAGGUACAUGCAAUUGUAUUCCCGUGUUAUUUUUAGAGUGAUCUAAAAAAAAUUAAAGUAUAUUACUACAUUGUACUUAUAUAUCUCUCUAGAGUAGCCGUUCCAUUCUCUUAUAUUGACAAUGACAACUCUGUUUUCUUGUUUUAAGUCACACACCGAAACAGCUAUGGUCAAAUCUGUAAUGCACAGAAGAACCCAGGCGCUCUAACUGCGCAUUGCUCCACUAACAGGUACUCUGGUAGAACCAUUAAAUGUCCGCAAGUCUGCUGCUUAUCUUUACCACAUUGACGAGGGACAAGUCAUUCGUCCUAUGCCUCUCAGCCAUUUAGGUCCACACGGCAACCUUGUAUGGGAACGAUGGAUGCUUUUUUAAGAUUAGAACAGAAAAUUAUAAACUUUGUUCAUCAUAGCUGUCAGUUUUAUAUGUAAAUAAAAUCUCUAUAUAAUUAUGUAUUGUUACUCAAUUUUACAUCCGUCUUUAAACGAGUGCGUGCCAAACAUAAGGUUUGCAUAACUUAAACACUAUCAUGAUUUAUCUUAUUGGAGAAAACUAAUACAUCACUGGAGACUGGGACAAUUUCGUUUAGGAAGUAAUAAGGAAUUCGUCUUACAAUAGAUUAAUAUGUGGAAAUCCAGUGAAUACAUAAAUAGGUAUUGAUUGAUUAACAGAUACAACUGAUUAAAUCAAAGAAACUAAAUUAGAAUCUUCAUCAGCAUCAUUUUAUUAUUCCAUAUCUUAAGUGACAACUUGCAUUUAAUCCGAAAGAGAAUUAAACUGAUACAUCAUACAGAAGCGUAUGCAGCGAUGAUGAGAGUCCAACGUCAAUUCUUCUCUUAACUAUUGACGUUGCUGUAAGUCUAAUCCACCAAUUUUUCAUUUCUUGAAAAAGUGUAGUUUGAAUAUUACCGUUUUAAUUUGACACCACGAGAGUGAAACACACAUAUAAGGACUUUGUUUUACUAUGUAUAAUUUGACUACAUUAUUUAUGCCUUAUUUAGAUUAUCUACCAUGUUUACAAUUACACACUUCAUUACGUCAUUUUUUCUAUGAGGUCUAUGUUGUAUCAAAUUUCCAGUUUAAAAAUCAUCUGUAUUUAACGCAGCCCGUGUAAUUUUUGCUUACUCAUGCACAUUAUGCUUGUUGUUCAGAUACCAAAAGCAAUGUUGGAGGGAUAUUCAUUUGGCUAAUAGAUUGAAAAGAAAAGCACGACAUAUAGACAAAAGAACAAUUAAAUAUAUCUACAAGUUUUCAAUAUUCAUUAAAAACACUACUCUUAUACUCAGCGAAAACAUUCGUGUAUCAGUUUAAAAUAGGCGGAGCUAUAAAUUUAUGAUAUUAUAGAUUUUACUACACUAACAAGUAGCUGAUUAUCAUCUGAGGUGGAAAGUAAUACUUAGGAACUGUAUAAUUGCGAUAGUAAUUGCGAUUCGGAGAAUCUAGAAUGAACAUUUGGUUAAUUAUUAUUAUUAUUAUACCAGAUUUAUAUAGCGCCCUUUUCA
rnacentral:lncRNA from 1 species